rnacentral:rRNA from 1 species
UACGUAGGCAGCAAGCGUUGUUCGGAAUUACUGGGCGUAAAGAGUGUGUAGGCGGUGCUCCAAGUCUGGUGUGAAAUCUCCCGGCUUAACUGGGAGGGUGCAUUAGAAACUGGAAUGCUAGAGGAUGGGAGAGGUAAGCGGAAUUCCUGGUGUAGCGGUGAAAUGCGUAGAGAUCGGAAAGAACACCAACGGCGAAAGCACUCUGCUGGGCCGACACUGACACUGAGAGACGAAAGCUAGGGGAGCGAAUGGG